rnacentral:rRNA from 1 species
UACGAAGGGGGCUAGCGUUGCUCGGAAUUACUGGGCGUAAAGCGCACGUAGGCGGAUUGUUAAGUCGGGGGUGAAAUCCUGGAGCUCAACUCCAGAACUGCCUUCGAUACUGGCGAUCUCGAGUUCGGGAGAGGUGAGUGGAACUGCGAGUGUAGAGGUGAAAUUCGUAGAUAUUCGCAAGAACACCAGUGGCGAAGGCGGUUCUCUGGGACGGUACUGACGCUGAGACGCGAAAGCGUGGGGAGCGAACAGG